AUCACUGAUACUUCUUACUUGCUGAGGCACUGGCUGAAAUAAAGCAUAUUUUGAGGAGACAACGAGGCUUCCCAGCAGCCAUGGCGCAUUGUUUUAGCCUGACAGUUCUUGCCAUAUUCCUCCUGGGCGUCGGUCUUGUUGUCCCUAAAAAAGUUGAAGAAGAGGGCAGUUACGCUCGAAUGGAAACCGUAAAGCUGAAAAAUCUCCAGCUUGAGAAUCGCCUCCGCGGUUUUGAACCUGCUAACUUGGAGUCAUCAAAGGGCUUCAUGCGGGAUGAUGUCGCUAAGCGCAGAAGGAGGGUUCCAAAGACGGAUGAGAUGCUGGCAUCAAAGAAGCGGUCUAGUGUUUCAAAUUAAAUAUCAGGAGCACAACGCAGAGUAAUAAGUGUAUUGACUUGUACUCGAUUAGUGUUUACGUACUAACAUACAGUAACCAAGUACACUGCAAUAUUUCUGCUGCUGCACGUAACCCUGGAUCCUACAGUUGCAGUAGCCCGAUUCUUGAAAGAUGUCAAAUUUAUUUUUAUUCCAUUAUUAUUGUAAUUGGAUUUCUCGUUGAGAUGAAGUUGGCUUAAUUUAAACCUUGAGUUCAUUGCGAGGACUAGUUCCAAUUUGGCUAUUAUUGAAGCGUGUAGAACGAAAAACGUGACAUUUCGGGGGACAGCUGGUGGUUGGCAUUAAACGGGCCAGAAAAUUCGUUACAUCAAUCUGAUUUGAAGGCUAAUGCUCAUUUCAAAAAGUUCUGGAAAGGACUUACGCAAUCACAUCUGCUGUAAUAUAUUUGUUAGUCAGUGUUACUGGCAAUCAGAUGUAAUUCACGCUAUUUAAGUCAAUGUCAUCAACCUCUGUAUGGGAUUACCAUUCAUUGUCACAUUAAAAUAUUCCUCAAACGAA